rnacentral:rRNA from 1 species
GACGAACGCUGGCGGCGUGCUUAACACAUGCAAGUCGAACGGAAAGGCCCUGCUUUUGUGGGGUGCUCGAGUGGCGAACGGGUGAGUAACACGUGAGUAACCUGCCCUUGACUUUGGGAUAACUUCAGGAAACUGGGGCUAAUACCGGAUAGGAGCUCCUGCUGCAUGGUGGGGGUUGGAAAGUUUCGGCGGUUGGGGAUGGACUCGCGGCUCAUCAGCUUGUUGGUGGGGUAGUGGCUUACCAAGGCUUUGACGGGUAGCCGGCCUGAGAGGGUGACCGGCCACAUUGGGACUGAGGUACGGCCCAGACUCGUACGGGAGGCAGCAGUGGAGAAUAUUACACAAUGGGCGGAAGCCUGAUGCAACAACGCCGCGUGCGGGAUGACGGCCUUCGGGUGGUAAACCGCUUUCGCCUGUGACGAAGCGUGAGUGACGGUAAUGGGUAAAGAAGCACCGGCUAACUACGUG